ensembl:lncRNA
CUUUGGGAAGCAUGUCUUGCUGUGUGGCAUAGGGUGAGCAGGCUCUGCUGGGGAGCAAGUAGCUUGCAUUCUCUGCUUCACAAAUUAAUGCUUUACUAGGAAUGAAGGACCUCGAGUCUGCCCUUCUGACAGCAAAGAUGAUGGAAAGGUCUUUUUUUUCAUAUUUUUUUUUCCACUAGCAGAAGCAUAUGCUGCUCAUCUCAUUCCUACUGAUAGCCCAGGAAUGCUGCAUCCCAGCAGCGAUGGCCCUGUGCCUCACCCAGCAGAUAACAGCCCUGUUCUGCACUCGGAUACGGACGCAUAAAGCCAGCAGCAGUACUCAUGCAAAAAUCAUGAGAUUAAGCACCAGUUUGAGAAUCCUGCAAACAGGGAAGAUGCUUGUGGAGGCCAUGGAGAGGACACACAAAGUGCUGACAUUGCUGCCCGAAGAACAAAAGAGGAAACUUCUUAUCUGCCAGUUUUCCUUGUGCUCCCUGGAUGUGCACAUUGUUCCACCAAGAGAGACUGCAGCUGCUCUACAGCUGCAGAAAAACCAGUUGCUAGAAUUCAAACAGCAAAUUUCAUUUUAUUUUUAACCCAGACACUUUCCUAUGCAGAUGCUGAUGCCUUGUUGCUUCAGCACUGUAUGGGUUUGCUCAUAUCCCAGUGCCUUUUUUUGUUGUUGUUCAGAGCCUGGUCCUUCUUUCUGGAUAGGGAGCGAGCUGAGAAGUUUGUGUCCAUACAGAUUCCUAGCACGUUUCUUGUUGGUUAUUGACUGAACCAGGACAGAUGUUCAUCUCAGAAUGCAUGCUGAUCCCAGGGUUCAGCAGCUGGUUCUGCUUUUCCUCUGGCUUAUACCACAACAUGUACAUCUCAUUUGACUUCCUUUCCUUUUGCAUCAAAAUGCUUUCCGGAAGGUGAAAGCUACGUGAGAAAUCAGUGUUCUCUGUCGUAAGUUGAGGUGGGCUUUAAUCAUCAGCUGCAUCCAAAGGAGCGCUGCACUACUGAUUAGACCAGCCACAGGAUUGCUUAAGGGCAAGUGUGAAAAAACCCAAUUCCUUUUUACUUUGGUUUCCUGAAGUACUGCCUUUUGAAGCGUCCUCCUUCGAAAGCAAACACAGUGAAACAGCAAGGCACAGGAAAUAUUUUUAUCUCUGUAGCUGGUCAAGGUAAACCCUAUGAGGAGUGUUGACCUCCGCUAGCUAUGUCAUCUCGUAUUUGUUGGGCUGGCACAUGAGAUAACUGGCUACCUGGAAUCAGCCAGCAACACAUUCCCUUCUCAUUAACUCAUUUGUUUGUCAGUAACUUCAGGGGGAGCUUUGAGCACUUUCAGUUUCUGCUCCUGGAAGAAUUAGUGACGAUGGGUGUAGGGCUCACCAUAGGAUGUAUAGCAAGUACCAAAAGCCUUUGGGGUUUUAGAUCCACCUAAGCAACAGGCAGAAGAGCAGUGCUGUUGCUGCUGGCAGAGUGAGAAGAGAGGAGUAAGAAACAGCCUCUUUGGCAGGUGCCUCUUUCCCUUGCCCCACGUGUAAGAAGAGAUUGUUUUGGCUCUCAGGAAGAGGGUUGUCCUUGGGUUGAGGAGCUCGUUGACAGGAGUACUGCUUUUCUUUCAGAAUUUCUCUAGGAAGAGCUGUUCCAGAGGAGGUUCUCAUUAGAGAGAUGCUGGGCCCAAAGGAAAAUGUAGCCCAUGGGCCAGGCAGGAGGUGCUGGGGAUGAAGAGAGAUGGGCAGAACUGUGAACAGAGGGGAGCAGUGGCAGUGAAACACUCCACUUUGUGUCAUUGGAGUGCUCUAGCUGGAGAGGGAAAAGCUCAGCAUCUCACAGUGCACCAAAAUCAAUGGCUUUUGCAGCAGUGUUUCCCUGCUAUCUUAGCGACCAAACCCUUCCUCCCUACAAGCUCUCCGAUCCCAAGCAUGGAGAUGUUGUGACAUUUGCACACUCUGCUUGGAUCCGCUGCGUGUUCGUCCCCCGAGUCAGCAGCCUGGCAGGUCACAGCAACCCCAGAGAGUUCGGUCAGCAGGAAAAGGUUUUGCAUUUGCAGGGAAGCCUUCAAUCUCCGGUGUUCUUGGAAAGGAAGGCAAUAGAGGGGCCCCACGUUGGCCCCAGCUGCUGUCCGCUCAGCUGAUGCAGCACUCCUGCAGGGCUGUGCUCCUUCCAAAGCUGCCCACUGCCUCUCAGCUUUCAUAGUGCAGGGCUGGGGGAAGGGAGUCGAAGAAGGGUCAACUGCAGAGAGUCUGAGGAGAAGGGAAGCAUUGUAAAACCAAAGGUUUUGAAGAGAAACCAUAUUUUCAAAAUGUAGCAGAGAUUUCCAACCAAGUUCCCUGGAUGUAAUCCUAGGUCAUGUUUAGGCUUUUUCAAAUUUACAUUUUAAUCAUAAAGCUCCUUUUAUGACUUCUUAGCCAUUCCAGGCAUGUGCGAACACAUAGCAUGUACACUGUGCAACAUGUUUCUUCAGAAUAUUUGCAGGUUUGGAAGUAGUGAUUUGAACUCUGCCUCUGCAGCAUUUGGCAAUGACUGCUAUGACAUUUGCAUGAUGGGAAGAACUGUUGCCAAGUUGGGUAACUUCUGACAAGUAUAAACACAGCUCUGCCUUCUGUAAACUCGAUUUCAAACCAUAUUGCUGUUCUGAGGAAGAGAAAGUCCUGACAUUAAAGAAUAUGCUGUCCUUCUGAUCAGCUCAUAAAUCUCCCUGUUGGUGUGCGCUGAGCGAGUCUGUGAAGGAUAAACAGCAAGGGAUGGUGGGGUGGGAUGGGGCAGAAUGAGGUGGG